rnacentral:rRNA from 1 species
GACGAACGCUGGCGGCGUGCCUAAUACAUGCAAGUAGAACGCAGUUGCGAACGGGUGAGUAACGCGUAGGUAACUGCCUGGUAGCGGGGGAUAACUAUUGGAAACGAUAGCUAAUACCGCAUACUACCAGAUGGACCUGCGUUGUAUUAGCUAGUUGGUGAGGUAACGGCUCACCAAGGCAACGAUACAUAGCCGACCUGAGAGGGUGUGCGGCCACACGGGGACUGUGAAACGGCCCAGACCCCUACGGGAGGCAGCAGGAGGGAACUUUAGGCAAUGGGGGGAACCCUGACCGAGCAAAGCCGGGUGAGGGAAGAAGUUUUUCGGAUCGUAAAGCUCUGUUGUUAAGGAAGCGGGACUUAACAAGAAAGGGACGGCUAACUACGUGCCAGCAGCCGCUGUAAUAC